UACAGAGACUGCAAGCGUUAUUCGGAUUCACUGGGCGUAAAGGGUGCGCAGGCGGCCGUGUGUGUCAGGUGUGAAAGCCCGGGGCUUAACCCCGGAAUUGCGCCUGAAACUACAUGGCUAGAGCAUUGGAGAGGGUAGCGGAAUUCACGGUGUAGCAGUGAAAUGCGCAGAUAUCGUGAGGAACACCGGUGGCGAAGGCAGCUCACUGGGACGGUACUGACGCUGAGACGCGAAAGCGUGGGGAGCAAACAGG
rnacentral:rRNA from 1 species